CAAGGGAUUUGGGUGAUUGUCCGUACGGGUUCGAAGGAGAGAGAGAGUGAAACCGAGAGAGAGUACGGGAGUGAGAGAGAGAAAGUGAUGUGGAUGUGUGUGUGGUCCUAUCUGCACAUCCACCAAUCAAACCAAUAUUUUCUUCACUUGCAAUUGGGUCCAUCAUAAUAGGGAUUCAUCAAAUUGGUCCUUAAACCAAAACUAAGUCACACCAAGCCAUCAACGCUUAAGGGGUAAUUCCAUCUUUUCACGUCAUCGAGAAUAAAAUAAUGUACAUCUCCGGGACGGGCUAUGACAAUCCUUACAUG
rnacentral:lncRNA from 1 species